ACAAUGACCCAUCUGUGGACCUGACUGUCAGGGACUGCCCAUGCUUCACAGCCAAGGAGGGAUGGAGCCCAGCAAAGUGCACCAGGACCUGCCACUGGCCUUCAUCUUUGUCUUUUUUCCAGUGCUGCACAGAGUCAGCCGGUGAGGCAGGUGACCAGGCUUGGAGCUCCAUGUGACCUUCGAAACACAGGCCAAGCCAGGAGAUAGCCCACAGAGGAACACACAUGACCAUCGUGUGAAGACCUCACCCCCAGGAUGGCUUUACUGCAGUCUUGCAGGCAUUGCUUGCAAGUCACUUUGGAUCUCACUUUGUUCUGGAGUCUCUCCAUGCAUUUUUUGUUCGUGUGUACUGUGGAACCCUUAUGAACAAACAGCAGGGAGAUUUUACCAGGAACUGGAGCUGGUAUCUUCUUUUCUAGUGCCCAUAAGCCCUGUCACUGUUGAGCUGGGACCACC
rnacentral:lncRNA from 1 species